UUUACAAACAAGUCUUGGUAUAGAGAUGGGUCUUGAUGGGUGGGUGGGGAUCAGCAACAGAUGGUUUAGAAUCGAAAAUCAAACCUUUCUUCAGGUGUCUUUUGGUUUAGGUUCACCGAAUCUUCUUAUUAAACCUCUCUCUCUUUAAAGUACAAUAACAACUAUCAGUUCAGUUGUUUGACCCAAAAAAAAAAAAACUAUCAGUUGUAAAUGAUACAUUUAUACAGACUCGUUCGUUAACUAAUCAAAUAUAUAUAUAUAUAUAUAUAUAU
rnacentral:lncRNA from 1 species